AGGACACCGGCCUUUGAGGCCUGGAGUUCCCCCACCCCUGCUUUAGACAAUGGCCCUGAUGUAUGCUGCAAAAUCUCGCUUUCCUGCAGACCUGCAGACCUCCAGCCACGUUUGUCCUUCAUUUUCCUGCUUCAGCAGUGUCCUGCAGCUUCAUGAUCACCAAGUCAGCUGUGGAUGAGACAGACGAGUCACCUGUGAGCAGGAGAUGCCCUUUAAGAUGCAACCCUCCACUUCAUCGAAGCAUAGAACGACUUCAACUUCUUCACAAUGCAGCAACAUAGAUAUUUGACCACAUUACCCCAGUACUGAAGCCCCUUCACUGGCUUCCAGUUCAGCACAUGAUUACCUUCAAAAUCCUUCUACUAGUUCACAAAAUUCUCAGUUGAUGGAUGUGGUCGGUCAAUAGGCGCAGAUCUUGUAGCUGUUCGCAUAAUUAGAUAUAACUGUGCUAAAGGAGCUUUCAGUCACUGUGGUCCUGUUCUUUGGAACAAGCUGUUCCAUGUGCCACAACACAAAAUUGUGCAAAAAUUUACGCAGUGUGAGAAAGACAGAGUUGACAUCAAGUGAUGAUGAGUUGGUCCUUAUGUCCUUAAACAAGAAAAAAGAUUCUGGGUUCAUCCGAUUCUCAAGAGAAGGCAGCAGCAAGGAUAAUUUCAUGGUUUGAUCCAGGAGUUGAAGCUUUAGGACAGCUUUUGUAUGUUUUGUUUGCUAAUUUAAAAAUCUUGAGCUGAAAAAACAUUAAUGCCACAAACUGGUCCUGCAAAAUUACGGGUCGAUGUGAACAGCUGCAUUAAGAAAAGGUGAGUCGAAAAAAUAAAAAAAAAUAUUCACACAGAUUUUACGUGCCUGGUGUGUAAAGACCUGUACUAUUAAAUGUAACUGGGCGACGCUGCUGGUAUUUAUGCUCGUGCUGGUGGGUUAUGUGUUAAAUAUGGUACAGUGCCAGCCGCCACAGUAACAAAUAAAAUGCUGGGAUGCUUUUCUUUCCUGGGCCCUCACUCUUUAUUGUUUUAGGCGUUUUUUCAUGUUCAAACAUUCCUCACAUCCAUUCUGAUAGUUUUAGCAAUCACCCUCAAGAAUUUGCUAUGAUUAUUAUUCAUUAAACCUAAAUGACUGUUGUUGUUUUUUUUAACUGAUAAAUUCAAAAACUGCAGCAAAAAAGUAUCCAGAUGUGCAGGAGGAGGAAUCGACGGUGCUGAACAGCCAGAGCACAAAUGCUGCAGGCUGAGCUGACUUAAUGGAUUCUACCAACGUCAAGUUACAGCAUCAACUUCUCCCUGAAGCACGAGUCCCCAGUAAAUGUGUGUUUUUCUUUUCUGUGUGUGUUAAUUUGUAUUUGAUUUAUUUGUGAAGUUGUGUUUUGUUGUUUUUAUUUCCUUGAGGCACUGUAGCUCACUGAAAACACAUUGAGUUUGUGUGGAAUGAAAUAAAUCUGACAUGGAGCAUGCUAGCUUGUGGCAGUGGAGCUGAAUCUCAGUUGGAGAAGAUGCCCUGCUGCUUGUGGUGCACAAAAAUUCCUUUAAAUUCACACUUAUUGCUGACUGAUAUAAAAUUGUU